AGCGAACGCUGGCGGCAGGCCUAAUACAUGCAAGUCGAGCGCACCUUCGGGUGAGCGGCGGACGGGUGAGUAACGCGUGGGAACGUGCCCUUUGGUACGGGAUAACUGAGGGAAACUUCAGCUAAUACCGUAUGUGCCCUACGGGGGAAAGAUUUAUCGCCAUUGGAGCGGCCCGCGUUGGAUUAGCUAGUUGGUGAGGUAAAGGCUCACCAAGGCUACGAUCCAUAGCUGGUCUGAGAGGAUGAUCAGCCACACUGGGACUGAGACACGGCCCAGACUCCUACGGGAGGCAGCAGUAGGGAAUCUUGCGCAAUGGGCGAAAGCCUGACGCAGCCAUGCCGCGUGAAUGAUGAAGGUCUUAGGAUUGUAAAAUUCUUUCACCGGGGAAGAUAAUGACGGUACCCGGAGAAGAAGCCCCGGCUAACUUCGUGCCAGCCGCCGCGGUAAAAC
rnacentral:rRNA from 1 species